rnacentral:rRNA from 1 species
CCUCAAGGCUGGGGAUAACAUUUGGAAACAGAUGCUAAUACCGAAUAAAACUUAGUAUCGCAUGAUAUCAAGUUAAAAGGCGCUACGGCGUCACCUAGAGAUGGAUCCGCGGUGCAUUAGUUAGUUGGUGGGGUAAAGGCUUACCAAGACGAUGAUGCAUAGCCGAGUUGAGAGACUGAUCGGCCACAUUGGGACUGAGACACGGCCCAAACUCCUACGGGAGGCUGCAGUAGGGAAUCUUCCACAAUGGGCGCAAGCCUGAUGGAGCAACGCCGCGUGUGUGAUGAAGGCUUUCGGGUCGUAAAGCACUGUUGUAUGGGAAGAAAUGCUAAAAUAGGGAAUGAUUUUAGUUUGACGGUACCAUACCAGAAAGGGACGGCUAAAUACGUGCCCAGCAGCCGCGGUAAUACGUAUGUCCCGAGCGUUAUCCGGAUUUAUUGGGCGUAAAGCGAGCGCAGACGGUUGAUUAAGUCUGAUGUGAAAGCCCGGAGCUCAACUCCGGAAUGGCAUGGGAAACUGGUUAACUUGAGUGUUGUAGAGGUAAGUGGAACUCCAUGUGUAGCGGUGGAAUGCGUAGAUAUAUGGAAGAACACCAGUGGCGAAGGCGGCUUACUGGACAACAACUGACGUUGAGGCUCGAAAGUGUGGGUAGCAAACAGGAUUAGAUACCCUGGUAGUCCACACCGUAAACGAUGAAUACUAGGUGUUAGGAGGUUUCCGCCUCUUAGUGCCGAAGCUAACGCAUUAAGUAUUCCGCCUGGGGAGUACGACCGCAAGGUUGAAACUCAAAGGAAUUGACGGGGACCCGCACAAGCGGUGGAGCAUGUGGUUUAAUUCGAAGCAACGCGAAGAACCUUACCAGG